GAUGUCAAAAAAGUUACCACAAUGUUGAUAGGUACGUUGUUUUUUUAUCCUUUGAUGUUGGCUCUUCCUAUCAUUUUAAAGCAAAGUUCAUCAAGUUUUGAAUUAUUCACACACCAAUAGGAAACGUGAGCUAAGCUAAGGUGUCUAGGCGAUU
rnacentral:rRNA from 2 species